rnacentral:rRNA from 1 species
AUUGAACGCUGGCGGCAGGCCUAACACAUGCAAGUCGAGCGAGCGGCGGACGGGUGAGUAAUGGCUGGCAAACUGGCUGAUGGAGGUGGAGUACGACCGGAAACGGUAAUCAAAAACCCGUACCAUUAGAUCUGCUCAGGUGGGAUUAGCUAGUGGGUGGGGUAACGGCUCACCAAGGCGACGAUCCCUAGCAGGUCUGAGAGGACGACCAGCCACACUGGAACUGAGACACGGUCCAGACUCCUACGGGAGGCAGCAGUGGGGAAUAUUGGACAAUGGGCGCAAGCCUGAUGCAGCCAUGCCGCGUGUGUGAAGAAGGCCUUCGGAUUGUAAAGCACUUUCAGCGGGGAGGCGUUACCCGCAGAAGAAGCACCGGCUAACUCCGUGCCAGCAGCCGCGGUAAUAC